AUGGGGAUACCCAACGAUGAGGUGGUGCAAAUCCGGCAAGCCGAUGCGGUCGGCGACCCGACCAUGGUCACAGUCAGCUGCCCCGACAAGAUCGGCCUGGGCUGUGACCUCUGCCGCAUCGUCCUCCUCUUGGGCCUCAACAUCCUCAAGGCCGGAGUCGGUGGACCAUGCAUGGCCUGGAACCUCCUCAAGGAGAGGCUGGUUGAGCUCUGCCCUGUGCCCGCGCUGUUUGGCAUUGACAUCUCCUACCUUGCUGCCGCCGGCCUCCUAGAUAACCACGUGCCCCAGGUCUUCUUGCUCAAAUUCUGCUGCUUCGACAGCAUGGGCCUCCUGCAUCACGUGACACGCGUCUUGUGCGAGAUGGAACUCACCAUUAUGAGAGUGAAGGUCUCCACUACGCCCGAUGGGAGAGUGAUGGACCUUUGCUUCAUCACAGAUGGCAGGGAACUUCCAUACACAAAGAGUAGGAAGGACGAGGCCUAUGAAAGGCUGCAGAACAUCUUGGGCGACUCCGUGACGAGUUGCGAAAUAGAGUCUGUGACAGAGGACAUGACAGAGGUCAUGGAACAAAUAUUGGGCGUAGAGGAGCAGUUGAGCUGCUCUUGCCUGUCGGUCACCAUGGCCAACUCCCUCAGCCCCGCGCACACCCUAAUCCAGAUGCAGUGCGGUCACCACAAGGGCCUCCUGUACGAUAUCUUGAGGACACUCAAGGACUGCAACAUCCAGAUCUCCUACGGCCGGUACUAUGUGGGGAGAAAGGGCGACUACGAGGUGGACCUGUUCGUGGUGCGCCCGAACGGGAAGAAGAUCAUCGAUGAGCUCGAGAAGAGCGCAUUGUGCUCCUGCCUACGGGUGGAGCUCCGACACCUGCUGCAUGUGGCGAUGGUGAACCGGGACCACAACACAGAGCUCCUAGUGGCAAACCCAGUGGAGGUCCCCGGGAAGGGUCGGCCUCUAGUGUUGCACGACAUAACCCUCAUUCUCAAGGACCUCGAGAAGCGCAUCUUCUUGAUCGGAAGGCAUGUGGUGGAUGACGGAGAGUGGGAGCUCACUUGUGCAAUGAGGAGUAGGAUCGUCGACAGUAUCACCAGCAUGCUCAUGGUUUGGGACUGA
rnacentral:rRNA from 1 species